GAUGAACGCUGGCGGCGUGCCUAAUACAUGCAAGUCGAGCGAACAGACGAGGAGCUUGCUCCUCUGACGUUAGCGGCGGACGGGUGAGUAACACGUGGAUAACCUACCUAUAAGACUGGGAUAACUUCGGGAAACCGGAGCUAAUACCGGAUAAUAUAUUGAACCGCAUGGUUCAAUAGUGAAAGACGGUUUUGCUGUCACUUAUAGAUGGAUCCGCGCCGCAUUAGCUAGUUGGUAAGGUAACGGCUUACCAAGGCAACGAUGCGUAGCCGACCUGAGAGGGUGAUCGGCCACACUGGAACUGAGACACGGUCCAGACUCCUACGGGAGGCAGCAGUAGGGAAUCUUCCGCAAAGGGCGAAAGCCUGACGGAGCAACGCCGCGUGAGUGAUGAAGGUCUUCGGAUCGUAAAACUCUGUUAUUUGGGAAGAACAAAUGUGUAAGUAACUAUGCACGUCUUGACGGUACCUAAUCAGAAAGCCACGGCUAACUACGUG
rnacentral:rRNA from 1 species